rnacentral:tRNA from 1 species
UUAAUUGAAACCAAAAUUGAGGUAACUUAUUGUUAAUAAGAAAAUUGAAUUUAAUAUUCCAAUUAAA